GUAUAAAAAGCGAAACAUCGCAUGCGAUUUCGGCUCGUAUUUUGAGAUAGCACAUCUCUUUAUACU
rnacentral:tRNA from 1 species